UUUGUUUUGAUGCGGGGAAGCCGAAAUUUCUCCAGUGCGUUUUUUUGUUUUCUCGCUCCGCUGGUUGGGUUUUUACGGGAUUCCUUUAGUGCUUGUCUUAACGUGCUCACUACUGCCGAUUAUUCGUAGAUAAAGAUCGGUUCUUAAAGCGGCCGUAACUGGCGUGUUUAAAGCUUAUUAAUAUACGCUAAUUGUAUGCACGGAGUAAAUAAAAAUCGAUUUUCCUGUUGAGCUCGAUCGUAAACUCGCAAUAUAACACAGAUGUGUACGUAUAAGACAGCGAUCGUCAAUCCGUCGUCGAAAUUUUCCAACCCUCUCUCGCGACAACAAGCACCUUUCCGCCUCCCAAAUUUCAAAGUAGCCCGCGAAACUCGGUCAAGCCGAUCACCUGUACGAUGGACGACGACCAGUCCAGCUUCUUCGGCCGAUUCUACACCUGCGGUAACCGAUCGUCCAGCUCCCAUCAGCUGAACCUUUGCCGAUCUAACCUACGAGCCAUAUAACCUCCUCUAAGUGAACUCGAGCUUCAGCAAGGAGGUCAGCAAUCCCUGCAAACCGGGACAGAAGUCCUUCGUAGCCGGUCUCUUCGACUCGAAGCCGAAGGAGCCCCCGGAACGCGCCAAAGCCAGCGAGGGGAAACGAGCCAAGCCGGAUGAAUCAAAGGCCGUAAAAAAUGACGAGCCUUCCGAGGAUAAAGAGCCCGAGCCACAACAGUCUUAUCAGGACGGCGCAACUGACUCGCCGCCUGCAGAGAAUAUCUGCUUCAUCAAGGAACAGGUGCGAUAGAUCGUCGCACGAUUCCAUUCGCGAUGAUUCAGGGGGAAAAAAAUCCUCUCGACCCGUGCUGCUGCGAGUUGAAGACCGACGACGAGGAUGAUGGGAGUCCUUGUCCGCCUGCCGGUUACUCGGAGAACCCGCGAGUACCCGGCUGUGGCUGCGACCUGUGCCGCAAGAGCGGAUACCACGGGAGCUGCUGCGGCAGACGGGCUUACGUCCAGGGCGGCGACGAAGAGCCGCCCCGGUUUGAACAGGCUUAGCAUUUUUAUUUAUUGUUAUAGCUAUGUGAGCUGAACGGGUGUGGAUCUGAUAACCUCAUGCGCCGCGUAAUCUUAUCGGGCACGUAUGCGCAACGCUUCGUCGCGACGGUGUACCAUCACGUCUGUUGAAGUGUCUGUACAACGUAUAAAAAUUUUCAGUUCCGCACUGAAAAAACUGCUCACGGAGAGAAACGAUCUGCCUUCCAAGGUUUCGCCGAUUCUCCAAAUAUUUGCGUAAAUCCUUCGGCUGGUAGACUCUCGAGGAAGAAAACCAGUUCCACCGCGCCGUGAAAUCCUAUAAGUCUGGCAUGCGCAUAUCCAUCUUCUGCAGAAUAUCUCGAAAUUAAAAUCCCACAUACCGGCCGCGGUCAGUUGCGAAAUCGAGAGUAAAAAACAAAGUGGUACACGCAGCUCCUCAAUAUCGGCGCACAAUCUCCAGACGAUUUUCGCCUGGCAACGCUCCGGCCGUGAAAUCCGCACGAGCGCGACUGAGAUAAAUUUGAAUUUGAAUCGCGCGCAAAAGCGCCGGGUUGAAAACCGAAAGAGGGCAAGGUGUACCUUGCGUCGAGAUGCAAAUUUUCCGACGAUAGCUCAGCGGUUGGUCGAGUGACUUCGCGGACGAGUCGUGAUCGAGCUUUUAUAUUUUCUUUUAUGAUUAUCUUAAUCCGGCCAUAAGCGAACCUUGGCUUUUGAUUCGAGCUUCUGGGCUGGAAAGGCGUAUACUGAUUACAUAGAGUAAGAACUGAUUAAUCCAAAUAUAUUGAGACUCUUUAUGUAACGCUAACGAAAACUACGCAACGCCUAAUCGAAUAGAUAAAAGGUACAUAUCGGCUGUACGUAUAAUCGUCGGGGAAACUUGCGAGUUUCUGCGAUACACAGCUCAAAAAAUAACAUGUGCGCGAUGCAUUUAAAUCGUCCAGCCCUGAAUAAUUCAUAAAAUUCGACGAUAAGGAAUCAAUCACAGACUCAUACAGACGCGCGAACUCGCGUCACGCAAGUUCAGAGAAAAUUCGCUACUCCCGGGUUUUGUCAUUGUAAUGUGACCUAGUGAACACACACGGCGAAGAAAAACAGCGAACAAAGUAAAAAUUCCGAUAUUUAAACAAACCACAUGAGGGGGGCACGCGCUGAUCAAAUUGCAACGUGUGUAUUGUUUUAAUCUUUUAACUUUCCUGAUAGCGAAGAUCAAUCACGCGUUUGACUUUGCUUCGGGUCAAUCUCGCUUAUUGCCUCGAAUCCCGCUCUAGUGCAAACAUGACUGGUUGUGAAGUGCACCUCGAGUUCUGGUGUGUGGAAAAAAUUCAUUAUACCAAAUUGAGGACAUACACCGACCUAUCGGAUUAUGUUUGCUCGAAGGAAAGAAAAGAAGCUUUCGCGAUAUGUAUAUCGAUCGGAGACGCGCGUGUGAGGUUAUUUUUUGUUUUUAUUUUAAUAAGAUUAGAAGUUUAAUAAAUAGCUUAUCGCUAUUAUUAUAUUCAUAAUCAGUGCGCUUUUCAUCGGAAAGCCAUUAUCUCGCGAGAUAGCGAAACGCCGCGUAUGCAAAUAAAUAGAAGAGCGCAAAAAUAGAUCGGUAUUACCCUAUGCGCGCGAAAUCCCAACCGAUCUCCAAUAAAUGCCGAACGAAUCAAAAGGUAUAUAGCUGCUCGUGAUC